UCUUGACCAAAUUACGUGCCAGCAGUCGCGGCAACACGCAGAAGACAAGUGUUAUUCAUCUUUAAUAGGUUUAAAGGGUACCUAGACGGAAAAUCAAGCCAUAGUAGGGACUAAUUUUCUAGAGUUUUAUGGAAGAAAGUCGAAUAUCUGGAGUAGAGAUAAAAUAUGAUGAUACCAGAGAGACGGGUAACGGCAUAGGCAACUUUCUAUGUAAAAACUGACGUUGAGAGACGAAGCCCUGGGUAACGAUCAGGAUUAGAUACCCCAGUAGUCCAGGGAGACAAUGAUGAGUGUCAUAGACUAGGUUUUCUAGCCUAUAAAUGAAAGUGCAAGCACUCCACCUUAAGACUAAAGCGGCAACGCCCAAAUUGAAAUCAUUAGACCGUUCCUGAAACCAGUAGUGAAGUAUGUUAUUUAAUUCGAUGAUCCGCGAAUAACCUUACCACGUUUUGAAUACUAUUCAAUUAAUACAAGCGCUGCACGGCUGUCUUUAGUUAAUGUCGUGAGACUUUGGUUAACUCCUUUAAUUAACGAAAACCCUUGUUUUAUUUAUAC
rnacentral:rRNA from 1 species